rnacentral:rRNA from 1 species
AUGAACCUGAGAGUUUGAUCCUGGCUCAGAGCGAACGCUGGCGGCAUGCUUAACACAUGCAAGUCGCGCGGGUGGUUUCGGCCAUCAGCGGCGGACGGGUGAGUAUCGCGUAGGAAUGUAUCCUGA